rnacentral:rRNA from 1 species
ACGAACGCUGGCGGCGUGCUUCACACAUGCCAGUCGAACGGAAAGGCCCUGCUUUUGUGGGGUGCUCGAGUGGCGAACGGGUGAGUAACACGUGAGUAACCUGCCCUUGACUUUGGGAUAACUUCAGGAAACUGGGGCUAAUACCGGAUAGGGGCUCCUGCUGCAUGGUGGGGGUUGGAAAGUUUCGGCGGUUGGGGAUGGACUCGCGGCUUAUCAGCUUGUUGGUGGGGUAGUGGCUUACCAAGGCUUUGACGGGUAGCCGGCCUGAGAGGGUGACCGGCCACAUUGGGACUGAGAUACGGCCCAGACUCCUACGGGAGGCAGCAGUGGGGAAUAUUGCACAAUGGGCGGAAGCCUGAUGCAGCAACGCCGCGUGCGGGAUGACGGCCUUCGGGUUGUAAACCGCUUUCGCCUGUGACGAAGCGUGAGUGACGGUAAUGGGUAAAGAAGCACCGGCUAACUACGUG